rnacentral:rRNA from 1 species
GAGUUUGAUCCUGGCUCAGGAUGAACGCUAGCGGCAGGCCUAACACAUGCAAGUCGAGGGGUAGAAGGAGCUUGCUCCUUUGAGACCGGCGCACGGGUGCGUAACGCGUAUGCAAUCUACCUUGUUCAAAGGGAUAGCCCAGAGAAAUUUGGAUUAAUACCUUAUAGUAUUAUAAAAUGGCAUCAUUUAAUAAUUAAAGAUUUAUCGGAACAAGAUGAGCAUGCGUCCCAUUAGCUAGUUGGUAUGGUAACGGCAUACCAAGGCAAUGAUGGGUAGGGGUCCUGAGAGGGAGAUCCCCCACACUGGUACUGAGACACGGACCAGACUCCUACGGGAGGCAGCAGUGAGGAAUAUUGGACAAUGGGCGCGAGCCUGAUCCAGCCAUGCCGCGUGGCAGGAAGACGGUCCUAUGGAUUGUAAACUGCUUUUAUACAGGAAGAAACACCUCUACGUGUAGAGACUUGACGGUACUGUAAGAAUAAGGAUCGGCUAACUCCGUGCCAGCAGCCGCGGUAAUACGGAGGAUCCAAGCGUUAUCCGGAAUCAUUGGGUUUAAAGGGUCCGUAGGCGGGCUUAUAAGUCAGUGGUGAAAUCUCCCAGCUCAACUGGGAAACUGCCAUUGAUACUGCUGAACUUGAAUUAUUAGGAAGUAACUAGAAUAUGUAGUGUAGCGGUGAAAUGCUUAGAGAUUACAUGGAAUACCAAUUGCGAAGGCAGGUUACUACUAAUUGAUUGACGCUGAUGGACGAAAGCGUGGGUAGCGAACAGGAUUAGAUACCCUGGUAGUCCACGCCGUAAACGAUGGAUACUAGCUGUUGGGAGCAAUCUCAGUGGCUAAGCGAAAGUGAUAAGUAUCCCACCUGGGGAGUACGUUCGCAAGAAUGAAACUCAAAGGAAUUGACGGGGGCCCGCACAAGCGGUGGAGCAUGUGGUUUAAUUCGAUGAUACGCGAGGAACCUUACCAAGGCUUAAAUG